rnacentral:rRNA from 1 species
GACGAACCGUGCGAACGUUGUUCGGAAUCACUGGGCUUAAAGGGCGCGUAGGCGGGCCCACAAGUCCGGGGUGAAAUCUUUCGGCUUAACCGGAAAAGUGCCUUGGAUACUGGGGGCCUUGAGGGAGGCAGGGGCGGAUGGAACUUCCGGUGGAGCGGUGAAAUGCGUUGAUAUCGGAAGGAACGCCGGUGGCGAAAGCGAUCCGCUGGACCUCUACUGACGCUGAGGCGCGAAAGCCAGGGGAGCAAACGGGAUUAGAUACCCCGGUAGUCCUGGCCCUAAACGAUGGGUACUAGACUGUGGGCUUGACAUGGGCUCCCAGUCGAAGCAAAAGUGUUAAGUACCCCGCCUGGGGAGUAUGGUCGCAAGGCUGAA